rnacentral:rRNA from 1 species
AGAGUUUGAUCCUGGCUCAGGACGAACGCUGGCGGCACGCUUAACACAUGCAAGUCGAACGAGAGAAGAGGAGCUUGCUUUUCUGAUCUAGUGGCGGACGGGUGAGUAACACGUGAGCAAUCUGCCUUUCAGAGGGGGAUACCGAUUGGAAACGAUCGUUAAUACCGCAUAACAUAAUUGAACCGCAUGAUUUGAUUAUCAAAGAUUUAUCGCUGAAAGAUGAGCUCGCGUCUGAUUAGCUAGUUGGUAAGGUAACGGCUUACCAAGGCGACGAUCAGUAGCCGGACUGAGAGGUUGAUCGGCCACAUUGGGACUGAGACACGGCCCAGACUCCUACGGGAGGCAGCAGUGGGGAAUAUUGCACAAUGGAGGAAACUCUGAUGCAGCGAUGCCGCGUGAGGGAAGAAGGUUUUAGGAUUGUAAACCUCUGUCUUCAGGGACGAAAAAAGACGGUACCUGAGGAGGAAGCUCCGGCUAACUACGUGCCAGCAGCCGCGGUAAUACGUAGGGAGCGAGCGUUGUCCGGAAUUACUGGGUGUAAAGGGAGCGUAGGCGGGAUCGCAAGUCAGAUGUGAAAACUAUGGGCUUAACCCAUAAACUGCAUUUGAAACUGUGGUUCUUGAGUGAAGUAGAGGUAAGCGGAAUUCCUAGUGUAGCGGUGAAAUGCGUAGAUAUUAGGAGGAACAUCAGUGGCGAAGGCGGCUUACUGGGCUUUAACUGACGCUGAGGCUCGAAAGCGUGGGGAGCAAACAGGAUUAGAUACCCUGGUAGUCCACGCCGUAAACGAUGAUUACUAGGUGUGGGGGGACUGACCCCUUCCGUGCCGCAGCAAACGCAAUAAGUAAUCCACCUGGGGAGUACGACCGCAAGGUUGAAACUCAAAGGAAUCGACGGGGGCCCGCACAAGCAGUGGAGUAUGUGGAUUAAUUCGAAGCAACGCGAAGAACCUUACCAGGUCUUGACAUCGUAUGCAUAGCUCAGAGAUGAGUGAAAUCUCUUCGGAGACAUAUAGACAGGUGGUGCAUGGUUGUCGUCAGCUCGUGUCGUGAGAUGUUGGGUUAAGUCCCGCAACGAGCGCAACCCUUACUGUUAGUUGCUACGCAAGAGCACUCUAGCAGGACUGCCGUUGACAAAACGGGGGAAGGUGGGGAUGACGUCAAAUCAUCAUGCCCCUUAUGACCUGGGCCUCACACGUACUACAAUGGCUGUCAACAGAGGGAAGCAAAGCCGCGAGGUGGAGCGAACCCCUAAAAGCAGUCUUAGUUCGGAUUGUAGGCUGCAACCCGCCUACAUGAAGUCGGAAUUGCUAGUAAUCGCAGAUCAGCAUGCUGCGGUGAAUACGUUCCCGUGCCUUGUACACACCGCCCGUCACGCCAUGGGAGUCGGUAACACCCGAAGCCUGUAGUCUAACCGCAAGGAGGACGCAGUCGAAGGUGGGAUUGAUGACUGGGGUGAAGUCGUAACAAGGUA